GUCUACAGCCAUGCCACCCUGAACGUGCCCAACUGAUCUCAUCUGAUCUUGGAAGCUAAGCAGGAUCGGGGCUGGUUAGUACGUGGAUGGGAGACCACCUAGGAAUACCAGGAGCUAUAAGCA
rnacentral:rRNA from 1 species